rnacentral:lncRNA from 12 species
CUCCAGGUGUGACAGGUGUAGAUUUUAGGAGGUUCCCAACCCCUCAGGUGUGAAUUUCAGGUGUUCCCAACUCCCUCAGGUGUGAAUUUUGGGAGGUUCCCCAUCCCCAGGUGUGAAUUUUGGGGGUCUCCCCCUCCCCCACCGGUCGGCAGUGACUCCGCCCCUGAAGCUCCAGGUGCGACUCAGGUGAGACCAGCGAUGACAUCAUCAAUUAAUGAUCCUUUAAUGAACGAUCCAGGUAUGCCCCGCCCCCUGCGCUACAGGUACCGCCCGGAAAGGUGGGACAGGUGCGCCCAGGUGAGCCCCAGGUAAGCUCAGGUGUGCCCCAAGUGAGCUCAGGUAAGCUCAGAUGUGCCCAGAUGUGCUCAGGUGCGCCCAGGUGAGCCCAGAUGUGCUCAGGUGUGCCCAGUUGAGCUCAGGUGUGCCCCAGGUGUUCCCAGGUGAGCUCAGGUAAGCUCAGGUGUGUUGAGGUAAGCUCAGGUGUGCUCAGGUAAACUCAGGUGAGCUGUCCCCAUCCCAUCAUCCAAUGGAAACCCCCAGGUCCUGGGCAGGUCCCGCCCCAUCCAGGUGUGCACCCGGCCAGUCCCAGGUGCACCUGGAGCACCCCAAAAUCCACACGAGUCCGUCCUGGGCUCAGGUGAGACCUCACAGUCCUGGGGUCACACCUGGCCACAGGUGAACCCUGGGGGGGUCCCCCAGUUCCUCAUCCGCUGUUGGUGACAUCACAGCUCAGGUGUGGCCGUGCUGGGGCCUCUCACCUGGGGCUCAGGUGCUGCAGAUUUCAGGGUUCACACCUGGCUGGGAUCCCCUCACCUGUAGCUCAGGUGUCGCUGUCCAGGUGUUGCAGAUUUUGGGGUCCACACCUGAGGUGCCCUCACCUGGGCUUGUCCAGGUGCUGAAUCUUUUUGGGGUCCACACCUGUCCUGGAUCACAGGUACUGAGUCCUUCCACCUGAGGCUCAGGUGUUGCAGCCCAGGUGUUGCCACUGAGCCUUUCUGGGGUCCACAGGAGAUUUUUGGGGUCCACACCUGUCCGGGCUCACAGGUACCGAGUCCUUCCACCUGGGGCUUCAUCCACGGGGCUCAGGUGCUACAGGUGCAGAUUUUUGGGGUCCACACCUGUCCCGGAUCGCGGAUCUGGCUCCCCUCACCUGAGGCUCAGGUGGCGCAGCCCAGGUGUUGCCGCUGCGCCCUUUUGGGGUACAAAACACAUUUUUGGGGUCCACACCUGUCUGGGCUCACAGGCGCCGAGUCCUUCCACCUGGGGCUUCAUCCACGGGGCUCAGGUGUUGCUGUUGUGCCUUUUUGGGGUAGAAAACACAUUUCUGGGGUCCACACCUGUCCGGGCUCACAGGUACCGAGUCCUUCCACCUGGGGCUUCAUCCACGGGGCUCAGGUGUUGCCGUUGUGCCGUUUUGGGGCAGAAAACACAUUUUUGGGGUCCACACCUGUCUGGGCUCACAGGCGCCGAGUCCUUCCACCUGGGGCUUCAUCCACGGGGCUCAGGUGUUGCUGUUGUGCCUUUUUGGGGUAGAAAACACAUUUCUGGGGUCCACACCUGCCUGGGCUUACAGGUACUGAGUCCUUCCACCUGGGGCUUCAUCCACAGGGCUCAGGUGUCGCCGCCGCGCCUUUUUGGGGCAGAAAACACAUUUUUGGGGUCCACACCUGUCUGGGCUCACAGGCGCCGAGUCCUUCCACCUGGGGCUUCAUCCACGGGGCUCAGGUGUUGCGGGGGGGGGGGGGGGGGGGGGGGGGGGGGGGGGGGGGGGGGGGGGGGGGGGGGGGGCACCUGUCGCGGCCGCGCCCGCCGGCGGCUCAGGUGUCGCGGUGCACGCGCCGGUGCUGCAGCAGGUUGGAGGGGUGCGCGAAGCCCUUGGCGCACACCCCGCACUUGUAGGGCGUCUCGCCCGUGUGCACCUUCUCGUGCACGGCCAGGUAGGCCAGGUCCUUGAAGAACUUGUGGCAGGGGGGGGGGGGGGGGGGGGGGGGGGGGGGGGGGGGGGGGGGGGGGGGGGGGGGGGGGGGGGGGGGGGGGGGGGGGGGGGGGGGGGGGGGG